UACGGAGGGUGCGAGCGUUGUCCGGAAUCAUUGGGCGUAAAGGGCGCGUAGGUGGCGGGACAAGUGUGCGGUGAAAGCCUGGGGCUCAACCCCGGGUCGGCCGUGCGAACUGUUUUGCUUGAGCACUGUAGAGGCAGGCGGAAUUCCGGGUGUAGCGGUGGAAUGCGUAGAGAUCCGGAAGAACACCGGUGGCGAAGGCGGCCUGCUGGGCAGUAGCUGACACUGAGGCGCGACAGCGUGGGGAGCAAACAGG
rnacentral:rRNA from 1 species